CCUACGGGAGGCAGCAGUGGGGAAUAUUGGACAAUGGGGGCAACCCUGAUCCAGCGAUGCCGCGUGUGUGAAGAAGGCCUUCGGGUUGUAAAGCACUUUAGUUGGGGAAGAAGAGUUGUAGUUUAAGAGAUAACAACUUUGACGGUACCCAAAGAAUAAGCACCGGCUAACUCUGUGCCAGCAGCCGCGGUAAUACAGAGGGUGCGAGCGUUAAUCGGAAUUACUGGGCGUAAAGGGCGCGUAGGUGGUUUUAUAAGUGUAUUGUGAAAUACCCGGGCUUAACCUGGGGAGGUCAAUGCAGACUGUGAAACUCGAGUAUGGUAGAGGGUGGCGGAAUUUCCGGUGUAGCGGUGAAAUGCGUAGAUAUCCGGAGGAACACCGGUGGCGAAGGCGGCUUCCUGGACCGACACUGACGCUGAGGCGCGAAAGCUAGGGGAGCA
rnacentral:rRNA from 1 species